UAUAUAUUUUUAGAUAAUAAAAUGUUUUAUAGUAUUUGAAAAGCAUAUGAUGUGAAUGUCUGAUCCUUAUUUGCUGCUUGCAAUCAUUUUAUACAGGUAAUUUUCUAUUGCUCUGAGAAUGCUGUCUGUUGACUCUAUCCCUGUGAGAUAUGCAUAAGAACUUGCACUGGAUUUAAUGUUCAGGCAUAGUAUGGCAAGGAGAAAAGAGGCCAAGAGGAGGAAAGGGAACCACUAUGCUCUAUUCUAUACAAUCUAGUUGUAAUAAUGGAAUAGUUGCCUUCUUUGAAGCUGUUAUUGUAGUAAUAUUUCAUAUCUAUAUUAAGUAGAGUGCAGCAGAGCUAGUGCAAUAUGAGCUUGUGAUAGAAAGAUAAUUAAUAAUAACAACAAUAAUAAUAACAACUGUAACAACAAUUUAUGUACAUUCCGCUCUAUCUCCCUGAAGAGGCUCAGAGUGGAUUACAGCAUACACAGAUAGGCAAACAUUCAAUACCGUUAAUACAAUGACAUACAAAUGCAUAGAACAAAGGUAAGGGCUUCCCCUUUCAUCUCCGGCUUUCUAGAGGCGGUACUCAACUCUGGCCAUGCUUCUGUAAUGGUUAAAAAACAAGUCAUUGUUUAUUGUUGUGGGAAAUUCAUUUUAGGGCAGGAAAAGCGAUAGACAAAAUAAAUUGACUUAUACUUGAUUAGAAGAGCCUUUAAAAGCUGGUUCUCAUAAGUGAGUGCAAGCUAGCAGCCAUUAUUGGGGUUGAAGAACCAUGGAUGCUCCUUCGCAGACAAAAUGAAGAGAUUAAUUUAUUCAAGAACGAGAAACUGACCUCUGCAGCUAAGAAGGAAGGAAAUGACUUGAGCACAUAGACCAAAGAAAGAUACAUAGAGGUGAAACAAAGUGAAGACAUUAUCUAGACUCCCCACUCUCAUUAAUCACUUUAUACAAGCAUUGGUGUCUGUUCAUUUGCAAUCAUUAAGACACAACAUGUUGUUUAUUUUGAGGUAUCUUCAUGAAGCAUGAUCAAAUAUCCAGUAAGAAAUUGUCUUUGCAUCUUUAAAGAUUUUAAUUAAGUGGCUCAGUUAUUUCAUAGUAGUUAUAACCUUGGAAAAUUUGUCUUUUAAUUAAGAAAAUCUUAGGUUUGGAUUGGCAGUAAUGUAAUUUUCAAGAAAAAAUGUUGAAGUAUUUUAAUUAAAUGCCUUUUAAAUCCAUGUUUUUUUAAUCUCCUGGAUAACAAAUAAUGUCACUAACAAAUCUAUUCAGUUUGAAAACAAUGCUUUUUAAAAAAACAUAUCUCCAUCAAAAGGAAUUUUUUCCCAAACAACAGCUUUUCUCACAUGUUGGGUUGUUUCCUGGCCAGCCCAAUGAUAGAAAGAGGUAGUGAGAAAGCAGCUCUCAGGUCAUCCCUAAAGAUGGUAUCCUUCCUCAAUCCUCAAACUAAAGAGACAGAUCCAGAGGCCUCCCCUCCACCAAGUGGAUGCCAAACGUGUUUACCGUACCCUAGUUUUCUCAAUCAACUAGCCAUCAAGUGAUCACCUAUUUAUAGACACAAUUGAAAGCCAAUUAUGAAAGUCUCCAAACUAAAACAAAGCAAUAGUUUAUUGAAUCAAAUUAUAUUUCUAAAUGAUUUAAAUAUAACUCGAACACAGAAACAUAUCAAAUAUAGAAUAUCUCCUUUAUUUUGUUUAUUCUUUCUCUACAUUGAAACUAGAGAAGUGGUUAUAAGAGAGGAGUAAUUUAAACUGUAAAAGAAAUCACACAGUUUAAUGUUCUCAGAAAAAAAACAACAGAAGUCUGUCAUAAAUUAUAUUUAUAUUUAAAUCUCCUUUCCCCUUCAAGAACCACAAGUUUGUACAUUUUUCUUCCCCAACUCCCUUUUGUGUUCACAAUAGUUUGUAAGAUAGGUUAGCCUGCAUUAGUGACUUGCUUAGAAUCAUCCUAGAUAGGAAUAAAAUCUGGGUUUCCUGACUCUCAGUCCAAGACUAUAACCACUAUACUACAUUUCAUUCACAUACAUUGUCCUCUAUGCAGUGCUACUAGAAUAUGUUUCAGGUUUUCUGCUCGCUUUAAUGUGUUCUUUCUUAACUCUUACUGAUAGAGUUUUCUGAGGCCCUCAGCUGUUCAGUUGGCAACAGAUUUAGAAAAAGGUAUUAUGAACAGAAGGAAGAAAAAGACUAGACAAAACAUUUAUUCUCUUUUCCAAUGAGAAAGCAAACUGGAAAUAAAAGAACAAUUCUACUUAAGCAGCAUCAACUGAAAGAAAGAAAGGGAAAAAAGAACAUUAGUUCUAACUGGACACUUGCAGCUGGAGAGCAUGUUAAUUUGGAGGAAGAUGGGUACUGGAGAUAGACAACCGCAAAUGGUACUUGCAUUUCAAUGGAAGACGGAAAGAAAUGUAACAUCGAACACAUCUUGCCCACACAAAAUGGACUUACAAUCUUAUACACAUACCAUAAGCGUCACCACCAUGGUGGAAGUUUCUGUGCUAAAAGAAAGGCAAAGAAGCUGACCUAAAAUCAAGAAAGAAACAGUCCAGACCUUUCCCUCCAAUGUCUCCUGUCUCAGAAAACAUAUUAAUAUGCUUCAGAUAAGACUUUGUAUCUUCAAAAUCAAUCACAUGUUGUUGGCCCAGUACUCACAGAUUCUAAGACCAAAGAAGAUAUUUUCCUACAUCUAACAGACCACCAGCAGAUUACAUUUCCUUAUAUGGAUAUCAGUAGAAGUUCUGAAUAUUUUCAUGAUAUUGAUCAAAAUUUUGAGUUUUCAGCAAGAAAAGAAUAUGUUCAAAAUCAAUUCUCUAUUUUUAAUCCUCCUCCUUUGUAAGAGUGUUUACAAUGUGGAGAAACUUUUCAAUAAGUGAUUGCUAUGCCCACAAAUAUAUUUACUCAUCCAGAAGAAUGAACAAUAUUUUUGUAGAAGGUGGUUUUAUCAUAUUGAAAACAAAUAUGGAGAAGAAUCAGAAAGGACAAAAAUGACAUUUUAUGUUGAAAUGUAUUAUGGUCUAGAUUUUAAGGAAGAACAAAGCAAAAAGAAAGAAGGAACAUUUUCCAAGCCUGGUUUAUAAAGAAAUUAAGCACUGAGAAGAAACAAUGAAGCAUAUUGCUAUUUUCCUGAUCUUUUUAUAAAAAAUAACUUCUAUUCCUUAGUAAUUACCAAAACAUUUUAUUUGGAUUAUAUUGUUUGGAUUAUACAGAGUAUGUCAAGCGUCUAAGACUACUACUGCUAAUACAAUUGAGCACAAUUUACAGUUGGGAAUUAGCUGACAUUUUAAUUUAUAUAUCAUACCUCUAUUUUAUUUCAAACUAAGAUCAUCUCACAAUGGAAUGCCAAAGUGCCAUGUGUCAUUGAGUGCCAUGGUCAGGAUAACGUCUGUCAAAAUAUUUCUAUGUAUGAACGAGUAAACUGAUAGGACAAGGAAACCUCUUUUGAAAUGUGUUAAUGGAAGAGCGUUCUAUGGAUUCCAAAAACAGCUAAAAGGAUGGAUAAAUGGGUCCAGAAACCAAUUAAAUCUGAACUUUCCCUAGAAAGCAAAAAUACUACAUUGGGCAUAUUAUGAGGUGACAUCACUUCUUGGAAAAAAAUAAUGCUAAGUAAAGUCAAAAGAAGUAGCAAAAGGAGGAGGACAAUAUUACAUGUGGGUUGGACUCAACAAAGGAAGCCAUAACUCUGUGAUUGCAAUAUCUUGGAAGGCUCUAAUUCUCAGGAUCACCACAACUUAAAAUCAAUUUAAAACAAAAACACCACAAUGAAAAUUACUUUGGAAUAUUGUAUCUUGAUGAUCCUUUUUCUGGGAAGCACUUAAAUAUUAUGGAAAGAGUCAUGUUUUAAAUGUUUCCUCACAGAUAAGCAUUGAAUUAAUCAAGCUAGUGGAUCAAAAGAUUAUACAUGCAAUGUACAUUUAUUUUACUGUAAAUUAUGCAUCAAUUUCCCCCCCUCUAAUAUAUGUCAACUCUGCGUUCUUUUCUGGUGUAGCUUCAAUUGAGAAGUGAAAGAGCAAUUUUUCUGCUCAUUCAGAGACACACUGAAAAAAGUUGUGCUAAACUGUUUUUAGUACUCUUCAGAAGUGUUGUUUUGACAUCAAUAGCAGGGAGACAGCUAUAGGAUGACACAAGAAUAUGAGUGGACAAUACUAGGCUCUGCAGGAUCACAUAAGAAGUAUGAACAAGUGUUCUUCUCCAAAACUGUAGAGUAUAGCAAAGAGAUGGAGAAGCUUUAGUCAGAACAUAUACAAACAUUUCACUGUCUACAAACCAAAACGUUCUAUUCAUUCCUUGGAUUAUACAGAUAACAUGAUGCUAAGACCACUGCUGCUAGCAAUUUGAGGAUAAUUUAGAGUAUGGAACUCUAUGGUGUUUUUAUGAAUAUAUCAUACCUCUCUGCCUUUAUUUCAAACUAGCAACAAAAAGAUUUCUAAAUUAGCCUUUAUUAAGACUGUUGUCAUUAUUUUGUUCUAUCUGUAAAAUUGAAUCUUCUGAGAAAAAUAUCUUUUGAUGAUCUCUCCUCUAAAUUUACUGAGAAUAUAUGUAGAAAAAUAUAACUUUUAAAACAUUUUGAAUGUUUUUGUAAUUGUGUGUAAAUUUUCCUUUAGGUUGGGUCAUAAAAUCUGAUUUGCAAGUUUCUCUUUUUCUCUCUCUCUCUCUCUAUAUACACACACACACACACACACACACACACACACACACACACACACACACACACAUAUAUAUAUAUAUAUAUAUAUAUAUAUAUAUAUAUAUAUAUAUAGUUUACCUACCUUCUUCUUUCCAGUUGAGAGGGGGAAAAUGUCAGUACACAAAUGCUCUGAAAGGAAACAUUCUCCUCUAGGCUUCUUCCUGUUAUUAUAAACAUUCAAAGGGGAGAACACACCCUAGAAACCACAUCAGCAUUAUAGUUGUCUUCAAAGAGCCAUUUGUAAUUGAAAGAUUGUAUAAAUGUAACUGUGUUGCCUCAGAUUUGAAAAUCUUUCAGGCCAUAUAAAAUGAUGAGGUGGGCUGAAUUUGGCCCAUGGGCCUUGCGUUUGACAAAUAUGCUUUAGGGUGUUGGCUGACCAUUUAAGUCCACUUGUUCUGCUUUCUGUUUUUGAGAGAGGGGAGAAAGCCCCCCCCCCCCCCAAAAAAAAGCCCUGGAGACUUUGGGGAAUCUAAUUUGCCAUUUUAAAAUGUUUUUCUUAAAAUAAUAUUAAUCCUGAUUACGUUAUGAUAAUAUUAGUGUUAUGAAACAGAACACCAACAAAAUUACUAUUUAUGAAAUCUGAAAUAUUGAUAAUUUCAUAUGCAUAAAUUAAAAGUUCUUGGUCAUCAGGACAGCGCCCUAGAAUUCCCUCCCCAGGGAGAUUAGUUUGGCACCAACCCUCACUGUCUUCCAGAAGCAGUGAAAAACAUGGCUGUUCUGUUGUGCUUUUGAGUAGACAAGUCUGUUAUAACCUG